CCAAGUGGCAUGUGCACAUCUGUUUUUGUUUUAUUUCUCCAACUGUGCACAAAUUGUAGACCUUUUUCAGGCCUAUGUUUUUCAUAAACCUCUGAAUGUAUUGGAAUGAUUUGAAUCUGGGGAAUAUACAUACAACUUUCAGCAACGGAUCUCUUGGCUCUCGCAUCGAUGAAGAACGCAGCGAAAUGCGAUAAGUAAUGUGAAUUGCAGAAUUCAGUGAAUCAUCGAAUCUUUGAACGCAUCUUGCGCUCCUUGGUAUUCCGAGGAGCAUGCCUGUUUGAGUGUCAUUUGAAACUUCUCAGCUGCUUGUAAUAGUAGUGGCUUGGGGAAAUGGAGGUUUGUGCAGGCUUGAGAAAAGUCUGCUCCUCUGAAAUGUAUUAGUGGUGUCUGGGCAGACUGCCAUUAGGUGUGAUAACUAUCAAUGCCUUGGUGUAUGCUGCGAUUGCUGCUGCUUUCCAAUCUUUUUAAUGACCAACUUGACCUCAAAUCAGGUAGGAUUACCCGCUGAACUUAAGCAUAUCAAUAAGCGGAGGCAAAAGAAACUAACAAGGAUUCCCCUAGUAACUGCGAGUGAAGCGGGAAAAGCUCAAAUUUGAAAUCUGGCAGUCUUUGACUGUCCGAGUUGUAAUCUAG
rnacentral:rRNA from 1 species